rnacentral:rRNA from 1 species
AUACCGAUGGGCGAAGGCAGCCAUCUGGCCUAAUACUGACGCUGAGGUACGAAAGCAUGGGGAGCAAACAGGAUUAGAUACCCUGGUAGUCCAUGCCGUAAACGAUGUCUACUAGCCGUUGGGGCCUUUGAGGCUUUAGUGGCGCAGCUAACGCGAUAAGUAGACCGCCUGGGGAGUACGGUCGCAAGACUAAAACUCAAAUGAAUUGACGGGGGCCCGCACAAGCGGUGGAGCAUGUGGUUUAAUUCGAUGCAACGCGAAGAACCUUACCUGGCCUUGACAUACUAGAAACUUUCCAGAGAUGGAUUGGUGCCUUCGGGAAUCUAGAUACAGGUGCUGCAUGGCUGUCGUCAGCUCGUGUCGUGAGAUGUUGGGUUAAGUCCCGCAACGAGCGCAACCCUUUUCCUUACUUGCCAGCAUUUCGGAUGGGAACUUUAAGGAUACUGCCAGUGACAAACUGGAGGAAGGCGGGGACGACGUCAAGUCAUCAUGGCCCUUACGGCCAGGGCUACACACGUGCUACAAUGGUCGGUACAAAGGGUUGCUACACAGCGAUGUGAUGCUAAUCUCAAAAAGCCGAUCGUAGUCCGGAUUGGAGUCUGCAACUCGACUCCAUGAA